rnacentral:tRNA from 2 species
GGGGCUGUGACGCAGCGGUAGCGUGCUUCCUUAGCAAUUCUUGGAUUGUAAGAAAGUGGAAGAAGUCAGGGGUUCGAGUCCUCUCUGCUCCA